AAGGGCAGAUCACACCACCGCACCGCAUCUCCAUCGCCACUUCCCUCUCGAGCAAAAAAGAGAAGCAUCGCCAUGUCGGGCAUCAUCCACAAGAUCGAGGAGACCCUCCACAUGGGGGGCGACCACAAGAAGGAGGAGGAGCACAAGAAGGCGGAGGCGCACAAGAAGGCCGAGGAGCACCACAAGAAGGACGGGGAGCACAAGGAGGGCAUCGUCGACAAGAUCAAGGACAAGAUCACCGGCGAGCACGGCGACAAGUCCGGCGAGCACAAGGACCACAAGGACCACAAGGAGAAGAAGGACAAGAAGAAGAAGAAGGAGAAGAAGCACGGCGAGGGACACCACGACGGCCACAGCAGCAGCAGCAGCGACAGCGACUGAUCGCCUCAGCUCGCCGCCGCGCGCCGUGCUUGCCGGUAAACAUGCAGGCACCAGCGGCCAGAUCUUCUUUUCCAAGCGAAACAUGUGCUUGGAGAGGACUAUCUACCAGAAGCUGUGUGAUGUAAUAAUGUUUCACGACUGUCAUGCGUGUGUGCUAAUCAAGGGAGAAAUGGGAAAAGGGAAAAAAAACAGACUCUUUGUUUGCUGGGUGAUGUACUACUCCUAAUGAUGGCUGUGGACGGUUCUACCUUGUAAUAAUAAGAUUUUAAUGCAGAAAUUGAUCUGCGAGCUUGUCCCUUUGCCAUGUA